rnacentral:rRNA from 1 species
GAUGAACGCUAGCGGCAGGCUUAAUACAUGCAAGUCAAGGGGGUAGCAAUACAACCGGCGCACGGGUGAGUAACGCGUAUACAACAUACCAUAUACUGGAGUAUAGCUUUGGGAAACUGAAGGUAAUCCUCCAUAACAUUGCGAGAGGGCAUCUGAUUGCAAUUAAAGUUUCGGCGGUAUAUGAUUGGUGUGCGUUUGAUUAGCUAGUUGGUAGGGUAACGGCCUACCAAGGCGACGAUCAAUAGCUGGUGUGAGAGCGCGACCAGCCACACUGGAACUGAGACACGGUCCAGACUCCUACGGGAGGCAGCAGUAGGGAAUAUUGGACAAUGGAGGAAACUCUGAUCCAGCCAUGCCGCGUGAUAGAUGAAGGCCCUCUGGGUUGUAAAUAUCUUUUAUCUGGGAAGAAACACUCCUAUUCUUAGGAACUUGACGGUACCAGAGGAAUAAGCACCGGCUAACUCCGUGCCAGCAGCCGCGGUAAUG